GCCAUCUUCGAUAAACGAUAGAAUCCUCGAAAGCGUGUUAAAAUAUUUAGUGCAUAGAAUUGUUACAAACAUUAUUAUCCUUUCUUUAUUCUUUAUUAUUGUGUGAAUUAUAUGAAAUUCAAAGAUUUAUAGGAGACAGAAGUUGCAUUCAGAUAACACGAGCGCUAAUCGAUUAAAUGAAUUAUUUUUGUGCAUGAUAAACACCGAACGGUCUGGCCAUAGUGAGAUUCGCAGUAUAACCCACUAUAAGAAAACUAUAAUUCUGUGAGCGUAUUCAUUCGAAACGCUACGGAGAAAUUUUCUUGGUCCGAACAUCAACUAUAUGAAGAAUCCGCUUUUUAACAAAACUCGAUCAUUCUACCGGUAGCCGAAGUCAGAUCGGCGUCAACUUCGCAAACCCCAAGCGCAUGCAAUGACGAUUGCGGCCGACUGUGAACGCCUCUACCCGGCAGCACCGACUUCUCACAUUACAGUCACUCGUUGGCCGGCCUUUUUGAUCUACCGGCCGGUUUGUCUACGGUAAAGUUCAUCAGCGCCAUUAGUUUAAGCUAGUACCAUUCAUUAGACAAACAGUUCCUACUAUCUAAACCAGCUGGGAUGACCAUGAAAGUGACAUACGGCUGAAUGUGAUGCUCACUUCAAUGUUAGAUGGAUGUUGGAAAAAGGAAAAAGCAGAACCAGUUUCUGCACGGUUGGUAUUCUAAGUUUGCACUAGUUGUAGUGAUAGAAUGAUGAGCACAUUCGCAGCAAAAAGUUUUCAUAAUUUGUUUUCCUGAACUAUCUGCGUCAAUUUCACAGAGUCAUGCUCAACUUCGCGAAUCUGGAAAACUAUUUAAUUCCAAUAGCCGUGCAAAUGUAGAUUGUUGAUUUAGAAUGAUACCAUUGUAUAACUUGGCUUUUAACUGACAUCUUACCUAUAAGGCAUGAAAGUUACUGCAAUCAUCAAUCCACAAGGUUAAACAGGACUGUGGGAAUUCAACAUUGAUUUCUAUAUUUUUUUGAAUAACAAAAAAUAAAUAAUGUCUUGUUCAGUAAAGCGAAA